UAUUUUUUUAUUUUUUUCUUUUCUUUUUCUCUUUUUUCUGUCUUUUUUUUUCUUUUUUUCUUUUUUUUUCUCUCAUUGUCCGAAGUCUCAUGCCGACUUGUGGGGGAAUCAUAGUCUCCAUCAUCCUUUCCUCACUGGGGCGCUCCUCUAAAAUGAAUAAUGAUGGUCAUCACACUUCUGCUUACUUAUAACUCAAAAGAAAUAAAAAUUACAACUCAAUACCUAUGACAAUUCAUGAACAUCAAGUAAAGGCCAAUACAUAGCAUAAGCAGUUUCUUGCAAUUUUUUCGUGUGGAAACAUAAAGAGGCGGAGAUGUAGUUCCUCUCUCAUAAUAAUUGCAAGUAGGAGCAGCAAGCACAUGCAUAAUAUAUUCAUUAAAAUCAUCAUGUGCAAAGGUAAAAGGCAACCUUUCGAUAUAAUCCUUAAUAAGUGCAAACUUCUCCGAUAUAGUGUAGUUUGGAUAAUUCAAAAAGAUAACAGGACUAUCAUGUGUGGGUGCAAUAGCAACAAUUUCAUUAUUAACAUAAGGAACUAUAGCAAGUUCAUCUCCAUAAGCAUAAUUCAAAUUGGCAUCUUGGCCAUAAUCAUAGCAAGCAUCAAGUUCAUCAAAUUGGGAUAUUUCAAAAGAAUCCAAGGGAUGAUAGCAAUCAUCAUAGCAUUCAUCCUUCGGUAAGAACGAAGGGACAUUAAACAAUGUGUGAGGUGAAGAGUUACUCCAUUAGAAGGUGGGCACGGGUAGCUAAUCCGCUCUUCCCCCUUUUGUUCUUCGCUCUCCUCAUCAUCUUUUUCAUCCAAUGAGCUCGCAGUAUCAUUAAUUUCUUCUUCCAUAGACUCCUGCAAAAUGUUAAUCUCUUCUUGGACAGCGGAGAUUUUCUCAAUAAAUUCAUCAAUAUAGAAAUUAUAUUUAUAACUAUCAUAGAAAUAUUUAAGGAUGGAAAAAAUUUCAGGUCUAUAAACAUCAUCAUCAGAAGCUUCAUACUUUUCAAACAAAGAUUUAAUUUCAUAAGCACCCUUAAACGCAACAAAUUCUUUAGUUCAUUCCACAUCAUAAUAAUCAUAUCUACCAUUAGCAUAAGAAGCUAAGGUUUCAUUAUCAUUAAAUUUGCAUGAAAAGGGAAGGUGUGGAUCAUUCAUCCUAGAGCAACAAGUACAAUCAUAUCUCAAGCAUAAAUCCCGAGCAUACCAAUACAACAUAUAAAUUUGAUGCCAAAAGUUUCCCUUUUUGUGUCAACCGAUAACCCCUAAAGUAUUCAUGUUGAUCCAAUGUUACUCCCAUUAUCUUGUUGAAUGGGGUUUUCUCAGGAUUAUGAAAGUAGUGCAUAAUAUUUUUCACAUAAUGAGCAUCGAGGGUUUUAGGAGGUUCACCAUCUCCAUGUGUAGCAAGUAGUACUAAUUUUUUUGGUGUUUCGUGUUCCAUAUCCAUAACUUGAGAUAGAGGACAACUUAUAACAGAGAAUAAAAACUACUUAGUGAUAAAGCAAACAAGCACACACAAGAAUAUUCACCCCACGCUAUUGCUCCCUGGCAACGGCGCCAGAAAAAGGUCUUGAUAACCCACAACUAUAGGGGAUCAUUUGUAGCCUUCUUCGAUAAAUAAGAGUGUCGAACCCAACUAGGAGCUAAAGGGAGAACAAAUAUUCCCUCAAGUUUAGUCGACCACCGAUACAACUCUAUGCACACCUGAUGUUUUCUUUACCGAAAACAAGUAUGAAACUAUUUUGUAGGUGUGAUGCUAGAACUACUUUGCAUGAAUAAAACUAGAAGUGCUUUGCAAUGAAAUGAAAGUUAUGUGUUUAGGAAAAGGGUUUGUGUCAACAAGAAAGUUAUUUGUCCCUAGGCAAUCGAUAACAAGUACCGGUAAUCAUUCUUGUAAUUUUAUAUGAGCGAGACGCAUGAGCUAACAUACUUUCUCUACUUGGAUCAUAUGCACUUAUGAUUGGACCCCUAGCAAGAAUCUGCAACUACUAAAAACCCAACCAUAGCAUUAAGUACCAAGUCCUCUUUAUCCCAUAUGCAACAACCCACCUACUCGGGUUUAAGCUUCUGUCACUCUUGCAACCCACCAUAAGCAAAUCAUGAACGUAUUGCAACACCCUAUAGCGGGGAUCCCUCUCAUUUGCGCGAGAAUGGAGGGUACCGUAGGACAGCACCAUAAAUAAAAUAUACAAUCAUACCAACCAAGAUCACGAUUAACCCACAGGACAAAACGGAUCUACUCAAACAUCAUAGGAUAACGAUACAUCAUUGGGAAAUAAUAUAUGGAGUUGAGCACCAUGUUUAAGUACAGAUUACAGCAGGGAGAAGAGGUGUUACACUGCUGCAUAGAGGGGGAGAAAGUUGGUGUUGACAGUAGCAAGAUUAGUGAUGUAGAUCGCCGUCCCGAUCGUUGCCCUGGCGGCACUCUAGCGCCACCGGAAGCGAGGGGGAGAGACCCCCCUCCUUCUUCUUCUUCCUUGGCCUCCCCCUAGAUGGGAGGAGAGUUCCCCCUCUGGUCCUUGGUCUCAAUGGUGGCGGAGGGGCGGGAGCCCCUCCAAGAUUGGAUCUCCCUCUCUGUUCUCUUCUGUUUUGCGUUCCCCUGAUCUGGCCGAAAAUCGUUUCUUAUAUUCCGGCAGAUCUGUAACUCCAAUUAUGCUGAGAUUUAACCACAUGACGAGCCCAGUUGAUAUCUUUUUUUCUUCUGAAAAUGGCUAGCCGAGUUCUUUUUCUUUGGAGAAUACCCAACCGAGGCCUACAUGCUUUUCUCAGCCCUGGUGUGCUGCAAAUCUUUCAAGACGAGGAGGGAUGUAUGUAGUAAGAAAUGGGCUUCCCCAGAAAAUGGGCUAUAAGUUGUAAGAACUGGGCUGUAAAUUUUUAAACCAAAGUCAACCGGCAAUUACAUUAAAAUAUCAUUUUUUCUGGAUUUCUCUACUCUUAUAAAAAGCAGAGUUGGUGAUGAUGGUGUGCCUGCCAUCCUGCAAUAUAGGCCGUCUGAUCUAUAUCUAACGGAUACGAAGGAAACUAUGACAAUUUACCUACAUCCUGAUAACCCACAAGUAUAGGGGAUCGUUUGUAGCCGUCUUCGAUAAAUAAGAGUGCCAAACCCAAUGAGGAGCUAAAGGCAGAACAAAUAUUCCCUCAAGUUUUACCGCCCACCGAUACAACUCUACACACACUUGACAUUUGCUUUACCGAAACAGGUAUGAAACGAUGUUGUAGGUGUGAUUCUAGAACUACUUUGGAUGAAUAAAACUAGAAGUACUUUGCAAGAAAAUAAAAGUUAAGUGUUUAGAAAAAGGAUCCUGUGACAACAAGAAGGGUAUUAGUCCCUAGGCAAUCGAUAACAAGUACCAGUAAUCAUUCUUGUAAUUUUAUAUGAGGGAGAGGCAUGAGCUAACAUACUUUCUCUACUUAGAUCAUACGCACUGAUUAUUGGACCCCUAGCAAGGGUCCGCAACUACUAAAAAUCAUUAAGGUCGUGAAACCCAACCAUAGCAUUAAGUAUCAAGGUAUCAAGUCCUCUUUACCCCAUAUGCAACAACCCACCUACUCCGGUUUAAGCUUCUGUCACUCUCGCAACCCACCAUAAGCAAAUCAUGAACGUAUUGCAACACCCUACAGCGGGGAUCCCUCACAUUUGCGCGAGAACGGAGGGCACAGUAGGAUAGCACCAUAACUAAAAAUACAAUCAUACCGACCAAGAUCACGAUUAACCCAUAGGACAAAACGGAUCUAGUGAAACAUCAUAGGAUAACCAUAGAUCAUUAGGAAAUAAUAUAUGGUGUUGAGCACCAUGUUUAAGUAGAGAUUACAGCGGGGAGAACAGGUGUAACACUGCUGCAUAGAGGGAGAGAAAGUUGGUGUUGACGGUAGCAAGAUUGUUGAUGUAGAUCGUCGUCCCGAUCGUUGCUCCGGCGGCACUCCGGCUCCACCGGAAGCGAGGGGGAGAGAGCCCCCCUCCUUCUUCUUCUUCCUUGGCCUCCCCCCUAGAUCAGAGGAGAGUUCCCCCUCUGGUCCUUGGUCUCCAUGGUGGUGGAGGGGCAAGAGCCCCUCCGAGAUUGGAUCUCCCUCUAAGUUCUCUUCUAUUUCUCAUUCCCCUGAUCUGGCCAAAAACCGUUUCUUAUAUUCCAGGAGAUCCGUAACUCCGAUUGUGCUGAGAUUUUAGAACGAUUUUUUUCCCGAUAUAAGAUUCCUUGCGCCCGAAGUAGAGCUCCAACCGACGUUCGAGGAGGGCACAACCCACCACCACGCCCCAGGGGCCUCUAGCGCGCCCUGGUGUCUUGUGGGCUGUGUGGGCCUUCGUUUGCGAAGAUUCCAACUCCCAAAAAUCACAUACAUUCCAAAAUAAGUCUUCGUGAAAUAUUAUUGCGUUUGGACUUUGUUUGAUAUGGAUUUUCUGUGAUACAAAAACACAUGCAAAAAACAGGAACUGGCACAGGGCACUGGAUUAAUAGGUUAGUCCAAUAAAUCAUAUAAAAAGGUGCCAAAAGUAUGUAAAACUUGUAUAAUAUUGGCAUGAAACAAUCAAAAAUUAUAGAUACGACGGAGACAUAUCAGCAUCCCCAAGCUUAAUUCCUGCUCAUCCUCGAGUAGGUAAAUGAUAAAAAUAAUAAUUUUUAUGUGGAAUGCUACCUAGCAUAAACUUGAUCAUAUAUCUAAUCAUCGCAUGAACAUUAAGACAUAAGUGAUUCAAAGCAAUAGUCUAUAAUUUGACAUAAAGACUUCAAUACUCAGGCAUCCCAACAAACAAUCAUGUCUUUCAAAAUAUCAACGCUAAAGAAAGCUAUCCCUACAAAAUCAUAUAGUCUUGUCAUGCUGUGUCUUCUUAACACAAAGUAUUUAUCAAGCACAACCCCGAUGACAAGCCGAGCAAUUGGUUCAUACUUUUUAACGCGCUUCAGCUUUUUCAACCCUCACGCAAUACAUGAGCGCAAGCCAUGGAUAUAGCACUAUGUGUGGAACGGAGUAUGAUGACAGGGGUAAAUAUAAAGAAGACAAAAAAGUAAGAAAGUCUCACACCGACGCGGCUAACCAACGGGCUAUGGAGAUGCCCAUCAAUUGAUAUCAACAUGAUUGCCAUGCAACGAAUGCACUAAGAGCUAUAAGUGUAUGAAAGCUCAAUAUGAAAACUAAGUGGGUGUGCAUCUAAUCCUAUAAUGAAAAAUUCCCACUAGUUUAUGAAAGUGACAACAUAGGAGAAUCUCCAUAUGAAAAACAUGGUGCCACUUUGAAGCACAAGUGUGGUAAAGGAUACUAACAAUGCGCCUUCUCUCUUUGUUUAUUUUUUUUUCUUUUUUUCUUUCUUUCUUUUCUUUUUCUCUUUUUUUCUGUCUUUUUUUCUUUCUUUCUUUUUCUUUUUUUUUCUCUCAUUGUCCGAAGUCUCAUCCCGACUUGUGGGGGAAUCAUAGUCUCCAUCAUCCUUUCCUCACUGGGGCGCUCCUCUAAAAAUGAAUACUGAUGGUCAUCACACGUCUGUUUACUUAUAACUCGAAAGAAAUAAAAAUUACAACUCAAUACCUAUGACAAUUCAUGAACAUCAAGUAAAGGCCAAUACAUAGCAUAAGCAGUUUCUUGCAAUUUUUUCGUGUGGAAACAUAAAGAGGCGGAGAUGUAGUUCCUCUCUCAUAAUAAUUGCAAGUAGGAGCAGCAAGCACAUGCAUAUUAUAUUCAUUAAAAUCGUCAUGUGCAAAGGUAAA
rnacentral:lncRNA from 1 species